rnacentral:lncRNA from 1 species
UAUGGAAAUCGAUAUUAACAUAUAAUUAGGUUUAAGAUGUUACCUUGAUUGUUAUGUAGCAAUAACAAUCCCAAUUCCUCCUUGAAUUUACUUUGGAAGGCUUAGAGUCACAAGUGUCACUCCUCUAAUGGCUUACAAACACCAAGAGCAAAUGGAGAAAGUAUAAAGAGAGAGGAGAGGUAUAAGAAUUCAUCUCUAGGACCUCUUGCGAAGGCAUGGACGAAUUCAUGAGCCUUGGGGUCUUUAUAUAGGUGUAGAGAUUAGGGUUUUAGUCCUUAUCCUUAUCUAGUUGCUUGCCCACCAAGUAACCAUAAGAUAAGCCUUAAAAACCCUUAUCCUAGUCGAAUUCUAAGGCCUUAUCACCUUAAAUUCGUCCAACCCAUUAAUAAGAUAAUCCUUACCUUAUUUUGUAACUAUCACAUAAUUACAAUUCAGCCCCUCUAGUUUAAUUAAUUACACUUGAUCACAAAAUUAAUUCUUAAUUAAUUAUUGACCAAUAUUAAUUAAACAAAUAUGAUUUCUCCUUUAAUAUAUUAUUCUUAUAACAUAUUAAUAAAUCAUAAUAACCUCUCUCUCUAUUUAUUUCUCCAAUCAAGUUGCUUUGGUGAAGGCAACCCAAAAGGACCAUGCACCAUCGGGUCAAGUACAUACCAAAAUAGUUAUGGACUUAGACACUAAUCCAACAGUCUCCCACUUGGAUAAGUCUAAUAACUAUUCUGCGUAUGACUUUAGAUCCUGAUCUGCAAUCGUAGCUUUCCAAAGCCGCUGUCAACUCUGAUCCUAUCAGAUACGCGUGUCCUUAGAUAAGGGAUCAUAUAUUCCUCCAUUCUAGAUAUCAUAUGAGAUAUGAUUUCAAAUCAUUCUCUUUGUACUAUAUCUCGAUUUCCGAUUUAUGACGACUGACUAAUUGAACAAAUCAAAUUAGCCCUAGCCCGGCCGAGCAUUUACGUUUGUCAUCACUAAACCAUCGAGGGGCCCAAAGAUAUCGCUUUUAUCCUACUUUGGAUAAAAGGAACGGAUAAACUUUGAUACAAUGCUUGCUUGCACUCACUCACCGAAUCACACACAACAAUAUGUUUUAUAACACCAAGUUACUAGUGCGUUUACAUAUUAUCAAUGUGCAACCGAUUUGCAAGAUACAACUCACACAUCUCGGUUUCAAGAAUAUAAGAUGUUAUCGUCUCACCAAUCACUCGUGAUACAAUUCAUGGAGUGAUCCAAGUGAGCGUGGGUUUAAUCCAAUGCUCAAAUCACAUUCAUAAGCACUCAUGAACGUUGCAGCAAACAUUUGCUUAUGUCUAAUACUCUUUUAGACAAUCCACACACCAAUUCACGACAGUCUUCAUUCAUAUCUACUUCCAACAUAUGAACGACUGUGGCCCGUUUGAAUAAUUCGAUUAUUCUUAAUAAACUCAAUUAUUCUGGAAGUCAAAACAUGCAAAUGUGAAACACAAGAAUAAUACUAAUCCCAUAUGGCCUCAAACCUUUGAGUAUAAAUAAAACACCUUUUAUUUAUCACCAUAUUGAUUACUCAUUAUUUGUCGUUUCGGGUAAUCAACUUCUUACUUGAAUUCCAACACUUGUCCCAUGCUCCUAGCAUGCACACAAUGUUUACCUAUGGUUCUUACUUUGUGAAAUAGAUCACAUUGAACACAUUUCCAAUCCUUCUCAUUUCACAACUCCAAAUCCGUUUUUCAUAAGUCAAAGAAUAUCAAAUUCUUGCUACUUAUAGAAUAUGCUAGAUUCUAACAUUCUAUGCAACUAUCCUUUCGUAAUGUCACUGCACCAAAGUCACAAAGACUAUUGCCAAUGAUAUUACAAAGUCCUCUAUCGGAGAUUGUUACAAGACAAUUCCAUAGACGUGAUGUCUCUCACUCAAAGUACAUUCUUUGAACAUCCUUUUGCAUAGAAGUUUCUAAUCUAGUCAUAGAUUUCUCAAUAUUCAAUUCCCAAUAUGGACACACUUCCAUAUGUUCCAUAUGACAACUCAUUCUUAAUAGAAUCUUAUCUAUUCGUAAUGAUGUCGAUAUGGUCCAUCCAAUAUGGAAACAUUUCCAUAUUUUCCAAUACUAUACUUCCAACUACUCACAAGCGACCAAUCCUCGUCGAACUUUGGAUUGUCCUUUGAUAGUUGUUUAAUUAUUUUAGUCAAAACCAAUUCUAGUCCCUUUUCCCUCUAAAUGCGCUCGACAUUUGGAAAAUUUUAGAAUGGUCAAACAUUAAAGCAUUUGCAAUCGAUCCUAUACCCGAAGCGUAUGGGACACGACGCAUAAUGUUUUAUUUGCUAUGUUCUCAAAAUUCGAAUUGUGAAGAGGGAUGCCGUAAUCAUAAUCGAAAUUUUAAGAACACACUAUGUACCUUUGACUAAAUUUAUUAACAUUUCUCAACCUAAUCCUUUAGAUUUGAAAUGAAGCAUAAUAUUCUCUCCCUUAAUUAUAGCAAAACAACCUUUCAACUCUUACAACUUUGCAAAGUAUGACUCUUGUUUUCUAUAAUUAAUAUUGCUAACCUUGCAAUACUUUCCUUAAUAAUCAUACAAUCAUAACAUUUAUGCUCCCACUAUCAUGAUGAUUAUUAUAAAACAUAACACUUAUGCUCCCACUAGCUUCGACAUGUAUUCAUAAACAUCUUAACUUUCAGAAAAACAAUGCUUAUUGAAUUUCUUAAGUUUAUGUUUCUCAUACUUAGUGCUUUGAUGACAUUUUAUUAAGACUUCUUGAACUUAUACACCUUUGCCUUCGAUAGUUCAUAUGUGUGUCGAAACACUUAAGACUAAUUGCCAAACCUCACAAUUCAAAUUAUGGAAAGGGAUACCGUAACCAUAAUCGAAUUCGAGAAUGCAAUUUUACAAUCACUAUCUUCUUAAAAUCUUUCUUAGUGAAAGCAUUUCCUCACAAUCAUUUUCAUGAAGGAGGAAAUCUUAUGACACUUAGAUUUAAACGGUGUAUGUGUUCCUAUCCAUGUGAAUUUGUUAAAACCAAAGUUUACGACAAAUUCAAACUCAUAUGGACCGAACUUUCUUAAUCUUGAUUUCUUGCCUUAUGGUAGCACAGCUGCCCACCAUGUCUUCCAAGUAGUUAAGCAGCUCACCCUUUCCUAUCAAUGUACCUUUCAUUGAUUAAGGUGCUUUGCCUUUUAUGCGUUCAAAAUGAGAACUCAUAGAACUCACAUGCAUAAUUAACUCGAUUGGAUUGGCACAGAAUCAAAAUAAUGUCAACACGAUAGGUUGUAAACCUCAACUCGUGUGCUAGUGAUGAUCGAUAAGGUUUAUUUGAUUUGUUCUUGAAACCUUUCAAGACCAUUAAGACUCCCACUGACUCCUUGACAUAUAAGAUUCUCUUGUCAAAAACCAUUUCUUGACAAACAAAUAUUCAAGAGUUAGUGUAGCUUUUAUCAAAACACUUCAUAAAUUGGUCCUAGUUGGUCUUUGUCUUAUCCAAGACAUCACAACUUUCCACAUUUAAUGAAAGUUACAAACCUUCUUAAUAUCUUUCACUCGAUGUCACAAUCUUAACUUUAAGACUUGUUAUUGGAACGAAGUAUGAUUGACUUAUUGAUUUAACCAUUUCUUCAAUUCUUGAUUCCUCUUCUUAGACAUACAAUUGUACUAAGACUCACUUAGAGGAUCAAUUGAGAUAUGGUUCUUAAUCAUUAAGACCUAUCAUAAAGCAUAAAAGGUACUCUCCCAUCUUCUUAGAAUGGAGAAACUUUUAUCUUUCUGCCUACUUGAUUCUUCUUAUUCGUUCUGCUAUUGAUCUAAACCCUUUAAUCAAUUCAGAAUUACACUUAAUCUUGUAAGUAUAAUCAUAUUUACUAAACCUUUAGUAAAUCAUGAAGAAUAUCUUUGUUACUCUUAUGGUGGACUUGAUCAACACGCAACUUUGUGUAUUCGAUCUCCAAGUCCUUCACUUGACACUUUGUCAAUGAAUUAGUCUAAUUUCCAAAUAUGAAAUUUCUCAUUCAUCGUGCAACCAAGUUGCAUGAUUCCAAAUUUCUGUCCAAUUAAAACUUGGGCGAUGAGAAACUCUCCCUAUUUGGUAAAUUCUCGACUUUUCCAUAAACACCAUAAAUAAGAAUCAUAUCCAUUUGUUGUAGAAAUAUGCAAACACCAAUUUUCAUAACGAUUUCAUUGCAAGGAAAUAAACAAAUAAAUAAGUCAAACAAAAAUUUAUUUUAUUUAUAAAAGCAGCGGAAAACAUUUGUCCUUACAAUGCAAAAUCCAUUGAAAACUAUGUAUUUGAAAAGAAAAUUUUCUAACAACUCCAUCAUAACUAUCUAAGCUCAAAAUCUAAUCUUCAUGUCCAUGCGAUCAAGAUCCAUUCCUUGUGAUUAGAUUCAUCUCUCUCUUUCACCAAGCUUCCUUUCUUUUCACCGAUCUUGUAAAACAUUCAAAUGCAAUCUUAUUAUAUUAUGUAUUAAGAAUUAAUGAAUAGGAACUUAAUGGAGUUAGAUAGUGGAUUUUACCUGAAGUGCAGCCAUACUCUUUGACUCUCCCAUCUUCUGGACUCUUCAGGCUCUUUGGGCAGACUUGUAUCCAACGUCUUUUCUUUUGGCAGCAAACGCAGGUCGGUUCUCCUAGAACGUCCUCGGAAGUAUGGCCGGUUGACUCUCCCAACAAAUACGCUCCAUUGCUUCGCCAAAUCAUUUAUGAUUCAACAGCAAUGAGCAUGUAAGUUAGGUCAAUGAGUUUGUCGUCAUGAUCCAUCAUAUAAUACUUUCUUUUGAACUCAUUAUAUGAUUUAGGAAGUGACUGCAAAACCCAAUUUCCAGCCACCUCAUCUGGGAAUGACACACCCAACGUUAUCAACCUAUCAAUGUGUGAUUUCAUUCCUAGAAUGUGGGCACACACAGGUUUACCAUCUUCAUGUUUCAUUUCCAAUAGGGACUUAGUGAUAUUGAACCUUUCAAUUCUUCGAUCUUGUAGGUUGGGGAAAACAAUAGGAGGAGGAGGAAGUGAAGCUUGAUUUCUCGUUCCUCGAUUGAAUCGUGGAAUACCAUCUUCAUGUGGAAUGCUUGUUCCACUGGAUUUGGGAAGACCAUAGUUGUCGAACUUUGACAUCUACAAAAUGGGAGAAAAACAAAUUCAAGUUAGUUGAUUGAUUGAGUCCUUAGUAAAUCACCCAAAUGACAUACUAAGGCUAGGACCCAACACAAUAUUCUACAACUCGGGAGAUGGAUGUCGUAACCCAAAUUGUAGAACAUUUGAAGGUAAGCGAAUGACGAUUCACUAAUUUCCACCAUGAAAAAGAAAUUUAAGUUUUAAAUCUAUGAAAACUCUUAGAUCCUUUGAGAUUCAUUGAACUUUCAAUGGCAUGUUUAAAUCUCGAUAUGCCCCUCUUGUUUGUGACUGGGAUGCCGAGGAUCACAAAGCGGGUGUGAAUAACCAUGCAAACUUACAUGGUGCCCUCACAUGUUACAGUCACCUAUUCGAUGUGCCGGUAAACCACACACGCUCCACCGAACUAUGACAAACAUUGAGUCACCCUUUGCUACCUUUGCUUAGAACCAUUUAGUGUGCCGGUAAACCACACACGCUCCACUAACGUCUUCGCAAGGGCACAAAGUGUAAUUUCAUGGAAUUGCAUCAAUUCACUUUUGCCUAAGUAACUAAGAUUGGGAAUUUUAUGAAAACAUUUAGUUACUUUAAUAAUUCAUUAUACUUAUAAUGGAAGGUUUCGUCCUAUCCUACCCGUUCGGCUAACGACCCUCCACUAGUCAAGAGUGCGGUGGGUAAGAGUGGAUACCCAUUCAAUCGCCAUUUUAUAGGCAAUUUCCUUAAACACCCCUUAUAGACCAGCUUCGUGAAUGAGGCCUACUAACGGUAAGACUGACUUUUACUCAUACAUAUAUAUAAUGUUAGACUUUUAAUGUUAUAUAUAGUAUAGGGUGUAUUUUAUACUUUUAAAAUACUAGGUGGUCUAAUUUAACAAUUAUACUUUUAAUUCAAUUAAAUUGUAAACCUAAACUUUUAUGGAUUUAUUAAACCUCUUUUAAUUAUACACCUUAAUUAAUUAAUAAAACCAUAAGGGUGUGAUUUGAACUUUUUCAAAACUAUACUAGGGUUUUAGAAUUUAACAUUCCUAAUUAAACUUUUAAUCAACUUUUAAAUUCCAAAACUUGAGGGCAAGUUUUGAAACAUUUCAAAACAUUAGGGUUUAGAAUUUAAAUAUACAUCAAAAUUAAACUAUUAAUCAAAAUUUAAAUUCCAAAACUUGAGGGCAAGUUUUGAAACCUUUUUCAAAACAUUAGGGUUUCAACUAUUUAAAUUUCAAAACAACAAAACUUUUGGGUUCAAAUUUAAACUAUAAAACCUAAGGGGAAAAUAUGAAACUUUUCAUAACAACAAGGAUCAAAUAACAAAUAAUUUAAAUUAACAUUUAAUCACAUAAUUAUCCAUAUUUGAUUUAUUUAAUGAUUUCUUGCAAAACAAUUUAUCAAUUUAGUCAAAAUAAUUAAUCAAUUAUCUCAUAAGGAAACAAUUAUCUUAUUAAUUGAUAAAUAUCUUCAAUUAGAUCAAAAAUAUAGUCAAAUAUAUCAUAUAAUCGGAUUAAUAUUGAUCUAAUAUGAUAAGGUAACCAUCCAUAAGCAAAAACAGCAAGAAAUCCCGAAGUAUGCUCCAUCUGACGCUCAAACUCGCCGAGUACCACACUGUACUCGCCGAGUUGAGGUCUACUCGUCGAGUACACUGUGGUACUCGCCGUGUUCCUCAUCCAGAAAGCCCAAAAAUCAAUUUUGAAAACACAUCAAGCAACAUUACAAUAGAAACCAAUCAAGGCUCUGAUACCACUGAUGGGUUUUGGUCAUAAGACAUCCUAUGUGCUCAUACAAACCCUAAUGCUUGGAUCUAGGUUUCUCUAUUGUACAUGCAAGUUAUCCAAGACUGUAAACCCUAAUUCUUGCAUAUAGAAAUCGAUAUUAACAUAUAAUUAGGUUUAAGAUGUUACCUUGAUUGUUAUGUAGCAAUAACAAUCCCAAUUCCUCCUUGAAUUGACUUUGGAAGGCUUAGAGUCAUAAGUGUCACUCCUCUAAUGGCUUACAAACACCAAGAGAAAAUGGAGAAGGUAUAAAGAGAGAGCAGAGGUAUAAGAAUGCGUCUCUAGGACCUCUUGGGAAGGCAUGGACGAAUUCAUGAGCCUUGGGGUCUUUAUAUAGGUGUAGAGAUUAGGGUUUUAGUCCUUAUCCUUAUCUAGUUGCUUGCCCACCAAGUAACCAUAAGAUAAGCCUUAAAAACCCUUAUCCUAGUCAAAUUCUAAGGCCUUAUAACCUUAGAUUCGUCCAACCCAUUAAUAAGAUAAUCCUUACCUUAUUUUGUAACUAUCACAUAAUUACAAUUCAGCCCCUCUAGUUUAAUUAAUUACACUUGAUCACAAAAUUAAUUCUUAAUUAAUUAUUGACCAAUAUUAAUUAAACAAAUAUGAUUUCUACUUUAAUAUAUUAUUCUUAUAACAUAUUAAUA